rnacentral:rRNA from 1 species
AAAUAGAUACCCGGGUAGUCCACGCCGUAAACGAUGAGUGCUAAGUGUUAGAGGGUUUCCGCCCUUUAGUGCUGCAGCUAACGCAUUAAGCACUCCGCCUGGGGAGUACGGCCGCAAGGCUGAAACUCAAAGGAAUUGACGGGGGCCCGCACAAGCGGUGGAGCAUGUGGUUUAAUUCGAAGCAACGCGAAGAACCUUACCAGGUCUUGACAUCCUCUGACAACCCUAGAGAUAGGGCUUUCCCCGUUCGGGGGACAGAGUGACAGGUGGUGCAUGGUUGUCGUCAGCUCGUGUCGUGAGAUGUUGGGUUAAGUCCCGCAACGAGCGCAACCCUUGAUCUUAGUUGCCAGCAUUCAGUUGGGCACUCUAAGGUGACUGCCGGUGACAAACCGGAGGAAGGUGGGGAUGACGUCAAAUCAUCAUGCCCCUUAUGACCUGGGCUACACACGUGCUACAAUGGAUGGUACAAAGGGCUGCAAACCUGCGAAGGUAAGCGAAUCCAUAAAGCCAUUCUCAGUUCGGAUUGCAGG